AGUGAACGCUGGCGGUAGGCCUAACACAUGCAAGUCGAACGGCAGCACAGUAUGAGCUUGCUCUUACGGGUGGCGAGUGGCGGACGGGUGAGGAAUACAUCGGAAUCUACUUUUUCGUGGGGGAUAACGUAGGGAAACUUACGCUACUACCUCAUACGACUUACGGGUGAAAGCAGGGGAUCUUCGGACCUUGCGCGAUUGAAUGAGUCGAUGUCGGAUUAGCUAGUUGGCGGGGUAAAGGCCCACCAAGGCGACGAUCCGUAGCUGGUCUGCGAGGAUGAUCAGCCACACUGGAACUGAGACACGGUCCAGACUCCUACGGGAGGCAGCAGUGGGGAAUAUUGGACAAUGGGCGCAAGCCUGAUCCAGCCAUACCGCGUGGGUGAAGAAGGCCUUCGGGUUGUAAAGCCCUUUUGUUGGGAAAGAAAAGCAGCAGGUUAAUACCCCGCUGUUCUGACGGUACCCAAAGAAUAAGCACCGGCUAACUUCGUG
rnacentral:rRNA from 1 species